UCCCUGCAGGUUUACUACCUGCCCUGAGCGCAUAUUUGCCAAUCCAGUUGGGGGAUCACUUCCAUCGAUCGUAAUGAGCGAAACGGCAUAGAGGGUUUGCAUAGACAGGCAAAGUUGGACUAAUCAGCCGGAGAUCACCUCCUCCUGCCUACCCCUGCGGCUUUUGUGUCAAUAUUGGAUUAGCGCAAACGCACCCCUCGACAGGUGUGCUGUGUGGGCUGCAGGAUCCUCUCUCUUUUAAACAUUUAAAAAGUUAAAUAGAUGGAUAGCUAUUUAUACUCGACUAUAUAAACUCGGCAGGAGCAGCACAGGUCUACUUCCUCUGAAAGUGCCGUUAAAGGGAUACAGGCAGCAUUGUCCCCAACCAAGCAGGGUUUCACCGUUGUGCCACUUAUUCAACAUGUUUCCGGUACAGGCCAAACUAUUUAGCGUCUUGAUAGAAGGGAUACACCUGCACACCUGUGAUCUCCACAUUCGGAAUAAAUGGACUUCAGAGGAUCACGAUUGCUGAAGACCUCGCCAAGUAAUUACGUCGUUAGGUGCAAGAAGAGUUCAGUCAUUCAGUCUGCAACCACCGUAACGUCUGAUUAUUCCUGUAUUUGCCUCACGUUGAGCCACACGUACAAUACCUAAAGCUGAUGUUUUGUUCGUUCGGCUCGCGUUAAGCAGGUGCAGACUUUCUACUAAUGUGGAAACGGUAGCGCUCAUGUCGACCCUCAAAUUAUGAAAUCAGAAAGUCAAAACGCUGUAACAUGCUUUAGAACUACGUUUAAUGGCGCAAUUUCCUAAUAAACUGGUAUAUAGCCUACAGGCUACAUAUGUUGCCUACUUCGUUUUGGUGUUAAUGUUUGAUUUUGUACGGGAAUGAAGGAUUUCAUAUGGACAUUAGAGUAUACAGUUUUAUUUCAAUUAAUAUAGCACUGUUUUGAACAUACUGAACAAAAAUGCAAAUGGUAAAAUGUUAGCCCUUCCUUCAUGUGACAAUGUUGCAUCAUUGGUUGUCAUGUUUAAACAUGUAAAACAUAAACAUUUCAACAUAACUUCAGUAUUUGCUUUUUUGUCUUCAGGGAAUUGUUUAGAAAAACGUAAAUAUCCACACAGAAUAUUGUCCAUGUGUGUACUUCUAGUAGCCUUUGCUCUAUUUAGGUAUGACCUUCAUGGAAACCUUUGUUUACAAACAUUUUAAAAUUAUUUAUUCUUCAACA